AGUGAACGCUGGCGGCAGGCCUAAUACAUGCAAGUCGAACGGCAGCACAGUGUCGCUUGCCCCAUGGGUGGCGAGUGGCGGACGGGUGAGGAAUACAUUGGAAUCUGCCCAGUCGUGGGGGAUAACGUAGGGAAACUUACGCUAAUACCGCAUGCGCCCUUCGGUGGAAAGCCGGGGACCUUCGUGCCUGGCGUGAUUGGAUGAGCGCAUGUUCGAUUAGCUAGGUGGCGGGGUAAAGGCCCACCAAUGCGACGACCGAUAGCUGGUCUGAGGGGAUGAUCAGACACCCUGGCAGUGAGAAACGGCCCAGACUCCUACGGGAGGUAGCAGUAGGGAAUAUUAGACAAUGGGCGCAAGCCUGAUCCAGCCAUGCCGCGUGAGUGAAGAAGGCCCUCGGGUUGUAAAGCUCUUUUGUCCGGGAAGAAAAGCAUCGGGCUAACACCUCGGUGUUCUGACGGUACCGGAAGAAUAAGCACCGGCUAACUUCGUG
rnacentral:rRNA from 1 species